rnacentral:rRNA from 1 species
AACGAACGCUGGCGGCAUGCCUAACACAUGCAAGUCGAACGAGACCUUCGGGCCUAGUGGCGCACGGGUGCGUAACGCGUGGGAACCUGCCCUUAGGUUCGGAAUAACUCCCCGAAAGGGGUGCUAAUACCGGAUAAUGUCUUCGGACCAAAGAUUUAUCGCCUUUGGAUGGGCCCGCGUUGGAUUAGCUAGUUGGUAGGGUAAAAGCCUACCAAGGCGACGAUCCAUAGCUGGUCUGAGAGGAUGAUCAGCCACACUGGGACUGAGACACGGCCCAGACUCCUACGGGAGGGAGCAGUGGGGAAUAUUGGACAAUGGGCGAAAGCCUGAUCCAGCAAUGCCGCGUGAGUGAUGAAGGCCUUAGGGUUGUAAAGCUCUUUUACCCGGGAUGAUAAUGACAGUACCGGGAGAAUAAGCUCCGGCUAACUCCGUG